GAGUUUGAUCCUGGCUCAGGACGAACGCUGGCGGCGUGCCUAAUACAUGCAAGUAGAACGCUGAAGGAGGAGCUUGCUUCUCUGGAUGAGUUGCGAACGGGUGAGUAACGCGUAGGUAACCUGCCUGGUAGCGGGGGGAUAACUAUUGGAAACGAUAGCUAAUACCGCAUAAGAGUGGAUGUUGCAUGACAUUUGCUUAAAAGGUGCACUUGCAUCACUACCAGAUGGACCUGCGUUGUAUUAGCUAGUUGGUGGGGUAAGGGCUCACCAAGGCGACGAUACAUAGCCGACCUGAGAGGGUGAUCGGCCACACUGGGACUGAGACACGGCCCAGACUCCUACGGGAGGCAGCAGUAGGGAAUCUUCGGCAAUGGACGGAAGUCUGACCGAGCAACGCCGCGUGAGUGAAGAAGGUUUUCGGAUCGUAAAGCUCUGUUGUAAGAGAAGAACGAGUGUGAGAGUGGAAAGUUCACACUGUGACGGUAUCUUACCAGAAAGGGACGGCUAACUACGUGCCAGCAGCCGCGGUAAUACGUAGGUCCCGAGCGUUGUCCGGAUUUAUUGGGCGUAAAGCGAGCGCAGGCGGUUAGAUAAGUCUGAAGUUAAAGGCUGUGGCUUAACCAUAGUAGGCUUUGGAAACUGUUUAACUUGAGUGCAAGAGGGGAGAGUGGAAUUCCAUGUGUAGCGGUGAAAUGCGUAGAUAUAUGGAGGAACACCGGUGGCGAAAGCGGCUCUCUGGCUUGUAACUGACGCUGAGGCUCGAAAGCGUGGGGAGCAAACAGGAUUAGAUACCCUGGUAGUCCACGCUGUAAACGAUGAGUGCUAGGUGUUAGACCCUUUCCGGGGUUUAGUGCCGUAGCUAACGCAUUAAGCACUCCGCCUGGGGAGUACGACCGCAAGGUUGAAACUCAAAGGAAUUGACGGGGCCCCGCACAAGCGGUGGAGCAUGUGGUUUAAUUCGAAGCAACGCGAAGAACCUUACCAGGUCUUGACAUCCCUCUGACCGCUCUAGAGAUAGAGUUUUCCUUCGGGACAGAGGUGACAGGUGGUGCAUGGUUGUCGUCAGCUCGUGUCGUGAGAUGUUGGGUUAGGUCCCGCAACGAGCGCAACCCCUAUUGUUAGUUGCCAUCAUUUAGUUGGGCACUCUAGCGAGACUGCCGGUAAUAAACCGGAGGAAGGUGGGGAUGACGUCAAAUCAUCAUGCCCCUUAUGACCUGGGCUACACACGUGCUACAAUGGCUGGUACAACGAGUCGCAAGCCGGUGACGGCAAGCUAAUCUCUUAAAGCCAGUCUCAGUUCGGAUUGUAGGCUGCAACUCGCCUACAUGAAGUCGGAAUCGCUAGUAAUCGCGGAUCAGCACGCCGCGGUGAAUACGUUCCCGGGCCUUGUACACACCGCCCGUCACACCACGAGAGUUUGUAACACCCGAAGUCGGUGAGGUAACCGUAAGGAGCCAGCCGCCUAAGGUGGGAUAGAUGAUUGGGGUGAAGUCGUAACAAGGUAGCCGUAUCGGAAGGUGCGGCUGGAUCACC
rnacentral:rRNA from 1 species